rnacentral:rRNA from 1 species
AUGCCUUCACUUGAAGUUGGAUAUGUCAGUCUAGGCGAGGACUGUUUAGACUAUUGUAACAAUAAUAAAUCUUGGGGAUGUGAUAAUGUGGACUGCGGUUUUGGUUGCACUGAUGGUUACAAAUAUGAUAGCAUUCUUCUGGAAGGUUUAUCAAAUGCCAGUUACUUGGAGUUGCUAAGUGAACCAAGCAUGUUCAUUUUUGAUAGGGAUUUGCGGCGAUGCCCUACAUUUCGAAACUUGAGGACACUGAUACUCAAUGAAUGGUUUUUGGUUGCUAACCUCCAUGGACUUGCACGCGUUCUUCGCAACUCACCUAUUCUAGAGGAGCCGAAUCUCCUACUUUUAGAGGAGCCUAAAGAGGUGGUCGAAUCUAACGGAGAACAUUAUCAACUGGAACAUCCCCUAUUAAUGGAGACCCUUAAGGAAGUCAAAGUCAAUUGUGAAAGACAAUAUAUGUGGGUUCAGGAAAUAAUAAAUAUUUUGAUUACUUUUGGUAUAUCGCCUGAGAUAAUUAUUGUCAAAGAGAGCCAAAUGCAUCCAGAUGUCAUUUAG